rnacentral:rRNA from 3 species
GACGAACGCUGGCGGCGUGCCUAAUACAUGCAAGUCGAACGAACUCUGGUAUUGAUUGGUGCUUGCAUCAUGAUUUACAUUUGAGUGAGUGGCGAACUGGUGAGUAACACGUGGGAAACCUGCCCAGAAGCGGGGGAUAACACCUGGAAACAGAUGCUAAUACCGCAUAACAACUUGGACCGCAUGGUCCGAGCUUGAAAGAUGGCUUCGGCUAUCACUUUUGGAUGGUCCCGCGGCGUAUUAGCUAGAUGGUGGGGUAACGGCUCACCAUGGCAAUGAUACGUAGCCGACCUGAGAGGGUAAUCGGCCACAUUGGGACUGAGACACGGCCCAAACUCCUACGGGAGGCAGCAGUAGGGAAUCUUCCACAAUGGACGAAAGUCUGAUGGAGCAACGCCGCGUGAGUGAAGAAGGGUUUCGGCUCGUAAAACUCUGUUGUUAAAGAAGAACAUAUCUGAGAGUAACUGUUCUGGUAUUGACGGUAUUUAACCAGAAAGCCACGGCUAACUACGUGCCAGCAGCCGCGGUAAUACGUAGGUGGCAAGCGUUGUCCGGAUUUAUUGGGCGUAAAGCGAGCGCAGGCGGUUUUUUAAGUCUGAUGUGAAAGCCUUCGGCUCAACCGAAGAAGUGCAUCGGAAACUGGGAAACUUGAGUGCAGAAGAGGACAGUGGAACUCCAUGUGUAGCGGUGAAAUGCGUAGAUAUAUGGAAGAACACCAGUGGCGAAGGCGGCUGUCUGGUCUGUAACUGACGCUGAGGCUCGAAAGUAUGGGUAGCAAACAGGAUUAGAUACCCUGGUAGUCCAUACCGUAAACGAUGAAUGCUAAGUGUUGGAGGGUUUCCGCCCUUCAGUGCUGCAGCUAACGCAUUAAGCAUUCCGCCUGGGGAGUACGGCCGCAAGGCUGAAACUCAAAGGAAUUGACGGGGGCCCGCACAAGCGGUGGAGCAUGUGGUUUAAUUCGAAGCUACGCGAAGAACCUUACCAGGUCUUGACAUACUAUGCAAAUCUAAGAGAUUAGACGUUCCCUUCGGGGACAUGGAUACAGGUGGUGCAUGGUUGUCGUCAGCUCGUGUCGUGAGAUGUUGGGUUAAGUCCCGCAACGAGCGCAACCCUUAUUAUCAGUUGCCAGCAUUAAGUUGGGCACUCUGGUGAGACUGCCGGUGACAAACCGGAGGAAGGUGGGGAUGACGUCAAAUCAUCAUGCCCCUUAUGACCUGGGCUACACACGUGCUACAAUGGAUGGUACAACGAGUUGCGAACUCGCGAGAGUAAGCUAAUCUCUUAAAGCCAUUCUCAGUUCGGAUUGUAGGCUGCAACUCGCCUACAUGAAGUCGGAAUCGCUAGUAAUCGCGGAUCAGCAUGCCGCGGUGAAUACGUUCCCGGGCCUUGUACACACCGCCCGUCACACCAUGAGAGUUUGUAACACCCAAAGUCGGUGGGGUAACCUUUUAGGAACCAGCCGCCUAAGGUGGGACAGAUGAUUAGGGUG